AUCUCCACCAUGCAUAGCACUCACUCAUUCACAAAAACACAUCAACUCAAACACAACAAUCAUAUAUCCACAUUGUGUUUCUCAACAGUCACAAUACUUUUCAUCUAACCCUCUUCCAGUAGGCUAUAAGCUAGGUGUGUCUAAGCUAGGUGAGCUAGCUGUGUCUAAGCUAGGUGAGCUAGGUGUGUCUGAGCUAGGUGUGUCUGAGGUAGGUGAGCUAGAUGUGUCUGAGCUAGGUGAGCUAGGUGUGUCUGAGCUAGGUGUGUCUGAGCUAGGUGUGUCUGGGCUAGUUGAACUAGGUGUGUCUGAGCUAGGUGAGCUAGGUGAGCUAGGUGUGUCUGAGCUAGGUGAGCUAGGUGUGUCUGAGCUAGGUGAGCUAGGUGUGUCUGAGCUAG
rnacentral:lncRNA from 1 species